rnacentral:lncRNA from 1 species
CUGGGAUGAUUCACAUUCAUCACUUGUGCUGGAUGAGCAAACAAGACCACAUUCAGAGAAUUCACAUCAGACAGUGUCUCGGUGCCUAGAGAAUUGAGGAGCAUAUCAUGCACUUGGUGCUCUAGCUCCAGGUCAAGAGAAGGCAACAGACUGACUCAAGAGAAAGUCCUCCACCUACAUGAAGUCCUUGACUUGUUGGUUGCUUCCUCAAAGAAUGUUCGCAAUGACUCAGGAGAACUCCAGCUACACCUAAAUGAUUAAGAGCCAAGUUUUUGAAAAUGUCAUGGACAAUGACAGCACAGUGCCCCAAAC